CAGGAGGAGCUCUGUGAGGCUGAGUGGCUUGAGGGUGUCUCAUCUGAGAAAUAAUCACCGAUGUGUGAAGGAAUGCGAAGAAGGCGUGGACAAGGAGGAGACUGUACACCUUGAAUUCAAUGACCGAAGAGACACACAAGUGGUAAAUGUCACCUGAUCUCAUAAACUGCUCUUAUUAAGACAGAGAAAAAUUGCUGCAAACUGGAUGUAUCCAGGCCUGACCAAGGAGGAGUUGACUCUUCAGAAGCUACAGUGUCCCCAGAGAUGCACAGAGGACCCCCAUGCCUGUGACUGUCACCCACACUCUGACUUUUUACCUGUUCCUGAAUCUGCCAAUGGAUCAAAUGUUGGCCCGGCUGUCACACUGGUGUUUCGCUGAUGCUGACCCAAGAUUAGAAUUACAGCGAGCCAAAUACAGAGAUGAACAUCCCCCUCACCUGAAGACACCUGCCCUGACUAUCAGGUAUCCCAGUAGCAAGCCACCCACCUGCAAACUGUCUUCACUUCCUAGAGAAGCUGGAGGCAAAAACACCCACUGAGACCAUGCUGCCUCGAUCUGGAGGUCUCUCCCUACUGCAGUAGCCUGAAAAAAAAUCAACUCUUCACUUGUUUAGUCUUUGUCUUUGACAAUAGCUUUGCCUGUCUAUCAUCUGUUUGCUUUCUCAUAUUUGUCUUUUUAUCACCUCUCACUAUUUACUCUUUAUUUAUCCAU